GCCAGGUGAGGUGGCUCACGCCUAUAUUCCAAGCUACUUUGGAGGCUGAGGCUGGAGGAUCCCAAGGUAGAGAGGCCAGCCUCAGCAACAUAGGCAGACCUUGUCUCAA
rnacentral:sRNA from 1 species